UUGGAACUCCUAAAAAGGAUUUACACAUAUUGCUUCAGGCUGCUAGCCACUCACCUACAGGUGGGUGGUGUUUGUUUAAUAGCUGGAAUACAUUUUGACUUGACUUUCUGUUUUUCUUGUUUCCCAGGUGAUUGGUUCUGGUGUUUUUAGAACUGUCUACUGCAUCCUGAACAUUUUCCAUGCAUUAGUGACUGGGAACAUUUUAAGCUGGCGUCGAAGAUAGAGUCUCUGGGGAAGUCCGCACACAAAUAAUACUUCCUCAUUGUUCUUGCUCAGCAGUGAUCGUGGCUUUUGCAAGCUGCUUCACUCAAUGCAGCAGAAAAGUAAACUAAAAAUAAUCAAUCAGAAUAUUUUUUUCCUAAGCAAUCCAUAUUCUCUUUUUCAGAGCCAAUGUACCACUGGAUGACAGAGAGAGAAAGUGCUCAACUCCAUUAGCAUCAGCUGUCCACCAGAACCCAACUUGGCAGGCGUGUGAUAACAGCCAUGUAAGGAAGCACAGGAGAGGCCACACAGGAAGACUAUAUAAAUGAGAACCACAGUUGUAGAUGAAUAGCAAAACACAAUGAAAUGGACUAGAGGAUACUGGCUGUCCUUCAGCAUAAGGAAACAAUCUAAUAUCUGUAAGCCGUUAUUCAGGAAAAAUGCCUUGACAUCAGCGUAUAUAGACUACAAGCAGAGACACUUAGGAAACAAAGGUCACCUUUGAAAGUGCAGUGACUGACAGCUCCCACUGGAGCCAGACCGUAAGCACCUUAUUUUGUCACAUUUAGCUGUAGAAGUAGGAAGGGAAGGUGAACAGUAGGGUGUUGUACACAGUGUUUGAGCUUACAGAUUUGGUCAGGGUCAUUCAAAUUGUGAAGGGUGUCUCCACAGGCCAGAAGGGAAACAAGCUGAGUGUGAUAAUCUGUCUCUGAAGAGGCACUGGAAGCUGCAUUUGCCAGGACUUUGGGAGUGACCUAGACCAAUAACCAUCCUGUCAAACUGGAGCUGGAGGCAUCACAACAACUGUGGGAACUACCAGGGCUACUCACGCAUGCUCUGCUGUGUGGUGUCUGCUAGCAGCUCCAGGCAUGGCCCCAGGCUACAAAGAGCUGUGCAAGACAAGGAACAAAAUGGUAAUUUUUCCCAGUGACUUUCUCCCUCUCCAUUUGGUUUGGGUAAGAAACAGUAGGAAAGAAAAGGGGAAAUGGGGAAAGCAAAGAAAAGUAAUUGGGAAGGACACUGAGAAUACACAUACUCUUGACUUUGCCUAUGUAGAAACUAGAAGGAAGACAAUCAUCUAGAAAUGGUGUGAAAGAGGGGUAUUUACUCAUAAAGAAAAUGUAAGGAAAAAGAUUAAAAGUCCAGAGACAAUAUGAUAGAUGUUUAGUGAAAAACCCUUUAAGAAGCAGUUCCCUUGGAAAACAGUUAAUUGCUGCAUUCAGAAGACUUUCGCUAUCUCUAGGAGCUCUCAUAGCUACAGCCUCCUGGAACACAAAAAGAUAAAUUCCACUUACUGGCCAUGUAGGAAAUCUGAGGUGUCAAAAACAAGAAAUUCACAUAGCAGCCAGGUUUUGAACAGGGAAAGAGUACAAGUCCCCACAAAAAGCUCAUUGUGGAUGUUUCUGAGGAGAAGGAAAGAGAGUGCAACUUUCAGGCCUUCAAGCAAAGACCAUGGAAUUUCAGCAAUGUUACACCUGGAUCCUGGAGGGACACAUAAGCUGAAGCCAACAGAAGCGCAGAAAGUGCUGUCUAUCCCAGUAAAUGUGCAAUGUACAAUCCUAACUUAGAGUUCAUAAUUUUUGAAAAUAGCUUCUCUGAUGAAAGGAAGGUUCUGUGUUGAGCGUCCUGUAUGUCCUCUUUUAUUUUUUUUCUUCUGGAGGGGUUUCUGUUGCCUGCAUUUGUGCACUUUGGAAACAAGAUACUUCUGCUUGUCCUCCCAUUUGGAUUCUAAGCUGGAAAUCCUGUUUACAAUGUUACCACUUGCCCGGGUAAAGAGUUUCUUUGCUAGCUCUUUACUCCUGAGACCCGCACAGCUCUGAGGAAACAGACUAAUUUGCAACACGUAAUUUAUUUGGCGAAGUUAGCCUUUUGCUCUUUCUUCCAUAAGUGCAGUAGCAGCAUGGUUUCUUGAAUGUACUCAUUAUUCAAAUAUAUUCUCUGAAUAAACAGCCAAACACUCUGUACUGUCAGAUUUUGCCAUGACAUGUUGACUGGUGAUGCGUCUCUCUGAAGGCUUGGCUGAUCGCUCUGAGGCUGAGAACAUUUAUGUGGAGAAAAUAUCCUGCUGUGACACAACUUCCUUGUCUGUCUGCAUUUCAAGUCAAGCCACUGUGGCACCAGUCCAGGACAGGGAGAAUCUGCUGAUGACGAUCUCUUUGAGCAGUGCCGGCAGAGCUGGGAGGGCUGGGGCAUGUGGGAGGAGUUGGCAGAGUGUGAGGGAAUGAGCUCUGCUCCACCCUUUUCGCAUCCCUCCAACCCAUCUCCUCAUUGUUUCCACAUCAGAGCAGGCCACGGAGACCAUUUUGCCUUUGCCUCCUUUACUACACACUGCUCCUCUCAGUCCUUCUAUGCUGGAUGUGAGCCAUUCUGUUGACUCUCCCUGUACUGGUGGAGGACAGUUCUGUAUGAGUUCUGCAUUCAGUGACCAGGACUGGAGACAUAAAAAGAACUAUUCAAUGUCUCUGGCUGCAGAGAUAAGUGAAAGACUCAUUGGCAAUAACUCUGAAGUAAUAACAGCAUGGAAUCUCCUAUCAGCUGAUGAUUGGAGCCCUUUGGAACAUAGAAAAUGGUGUGGCCAAGAGGUUGUGCAAGUUCAAAAUACAUUUUCUGUAUUUCUGUGUCUCUGUGUGUAUAGAGGUAUAGACAGAGAGCUUAAAAUAAACAGACAAGUUUGUCCUUAAAGAAAUUUUAAAGAUUAUAAUAAUAAAGGAUUUACAAAUUAAAAGACUUUGUGCUGUUUACUUCCAGUAAACAGACAACAGUAGAAAGAGAGGAGGAAUGGAGAACCAACUUGUUUUGCUGUUCUCAAUGAAUUAAGUAUAUAAAUCCUCUAACAAUGAAUAAACACUAUUGACAGAGAAAAGUAAAUACAUCUUAUUUUUUUUCCUGGCUUUUAAAACAAAGAAUAUCAAUAGCAAAAUUGUGUUUUCAAAUGUGUUUUGAAUUUGACAAUGUCUCUUUGACAUUUAUAAAAGACAGUGAUGAGUAUGCAAUUAAACUUCUUUGCUUAUUUUUCAAUAUUGCAUUCUCAGUCCUCCAAAUUUCCUUUGAGCUAGAGACUAAACAAAGGAGGAAGGCUUGCCAGCGAGUGGCCCGUUCCCAUGCACGCCAUGCUGUGCCCCAGCAAUGUGCUCGCCUUUGAACCCGACGCUGAGCCAGCCCAUGUGCAUGCACUGUGAAGCAUCCCUUCUCAAUGUACUUGGGGUUUUGUUUUAGUUACCACAAAAGGGCUAAGUGAGGAAUCGAGGGUUUUUCUAA